rnacentral:rRNA from 1 species
AGGACGAACGCUGGCGGCGUGCUUAACACAUGCAAGUCGAACGAGGUGCUUCGGCACUUAGUGGCGAACGGGUGAGUAACACGUGAGCAACCUGCCCUUGGCUCUGGGAUAGCCUCCGGAAACGGGGAUUAAUACCGGACAUGACCUGCUCCUGCAUGGGGGCGGGUGGAAAGUUUUUCGGCCAGGGAGGGGCUCGCGGCCUAUCAGCUUGUUGGGGGGGUAACGGCCCACCAAGGCGACGACGGGUAGCCGGCCUGAGAGGGCGACCGGCCACACUGGGACUGAGACACGGCCCAGACUCCUACGGGAGGCAGCAGUGGGGAAUAUUGCACAAUGGGGGAAACCCUGAUGCAGCGACGCCGCGUGCGGGAUGAAGGCCUUCGGGUUGUAAACCGCUUUCAGCAGGGGCGAAUUCAGACGGUACCUGCAGAAGAGCGCCGGCUAACUACGUGCCAGCAGCCGC